rnacentral:rRNA from 1 species
GACGAACGCUGGCGGCGUGCUUAACACAUGCAAGUCGAACGGAAAGGCCCUGCUUUUGUGGGGUUCUCGAGUGGCGAACGGGUGAGUAACACGUGAGUAACCUGCCCUUGACUUUGGGAUAACUUCAGGAAACUGGGGCUAAUACCGGAUAGGAGCUCCUGCUGCAUGGUGGGGGUUGGAAAGUUUCGGCGGUUGGGGAUGGACUCGCGGCUUAUCAGCUUGUUGGUGGGGUAGUGGCUUACCAAGGCUUUGACGGCUAGCCGGCCUGAGAGGGUGACCGGCGACAUUGGGACUGAGAUACGGCCCAGACUCCUACGGGAGGCAGCAGGGGGGAGUAUUGCACAAUGAGCGGAAGCCUGAUGCAACAACGCCGCGUGCGGGAUGACGGCCUUCGGGUUGUAAACCGCUUUCGCCUGUGACGAAGCGUGAGUGACGGUAAUGGGUAAAGAAGCACCGGCUAACUACGUG